rnacentral:rRNA from 1 species
UACGGAGGGGGCUAGCGUUGUUCGGAAUUACUGGGCGUAAAGCGCGCGUAGGCGGCUUUGUAAGUUAGAGGUGAAAGCCCGGAGCUCAACUCCGGAACUGCCUUUAAGACUGCAUCGCUAGAAUUGUGGAGAGGUGAGUGGAAUUCCGAGUGUAGAGGUGAAAUUCGUAGAUAUUCGGAAGAACACCAGUGGCGAAGGCGACUCGCUGGACACAUAUUGACGCUGAGGUGCGAAAGCGUGGGGAGCAAACAGG